UUUGUUUUAAAAGUAUCUAUAUAUCCAGUUUAUAUUAGUGUUUCCUAAAAACGCGAACUAAAUUCAAACUUCGAAACCGCGUCUACGACAUUCAUACAACAUUCAAACAUCGUUUCGAAAACAAGUCACAAAUUAAAAUUUUAUGACCACAUUAAAUUUUUCGCAGAUAUUUACUUUUAGGUGUACGAAAUUCGCCAAAUUCGUCUUGUUCUCUUAGGUUCACAAUCAAAUGUCAAAAACGCAGCAGUUUUGAAUUACGACGGCUUUGAUUUUAUGUCGAUUUGGAGGAUUUUGCAAUUUGAUUGAACCGAUUACUCAUUGAGUCCAGCAUCAUAUAUUUAAGAAGCCCUUUUCCGUGGUGAACAAAUACUGACUGCAUACAAUGGAAACUUGCAGUCUCUGCAGUCAACGGAUGUCCGACUUCCCAUACGAAAUCCAGUCCAACUAUUGAAUCUAGGUAGGUAGGUAUCUUUUGGCCACAUUGUUUGCCAACCAGUUGGGCAGACAAAUGACAGUUUGAAAGGUCGCCAGCGGCAAACUUGAAAAGGCCGACGAUGAGAUAUGCAUGUAUGUCUUUUGUUUUGUCAAUCUCUAUUGCAUAUUUAAUAUUCUUUUAUUUUCCACCAAAAUGAAUUCAGUUUUCUUGUUCGUUUUCAUGAAACGAUCGUUUUGUUUUCGCUUGUCUAAUUGUUUAUUCAAAUCGCCACACUGAACAUUGUCCAUUACAAUAAAUUCCAAAGUCAUCAUA